AUGGAGGCCCCAGCUCCGAAGCCCUGAUCAUGAAUUUCGGGCUGCUCCUCCAUGUUCCAGAGCAAGAAGGCCUGGCGGAGAGGUGAAGUCAGUUCUGCCCAUAGCAAGCCAGGAGGUGUCGGGCAACCUGCCUGAGAAGGAGGGGAAGGAGCCAGCAGGGGCGCCUCCGGAAAAACAGGGGCCUCAGACAGGUGACAGCCACUUUAUCCAGAUCCUGCAGUUGAAGGAAGAAUACCUGCAGAGAGCCACAGGACCCCGUGAGGUCAGCCCUGAGCCCUCCACCAGGGAGAAGGAGUGUCUGCUUGAAGGAUCACCACCCAUUCACAGGAGACUGCGUGUUGGCCUCUUCCAGGGUGGAGGCAACUCCUUGGAACCACUUCCACAGUUUGGACAAGGAGCUUCAAAACUCGGCCAUGGCCAAGAGCUCAUUCAUCCCAGGCAUUGUUGCCCUCCAGUCGCCACUGAACAAGGCUUUCAGAGCCACAGACACAGUGGGGGCUUCCGCCCUUCCCCUCCCACGUGCCCCCAGGCCCAGGAAGCCUCGCUUUGGGUUUCCUGGAGUCGGAGUUGAAGAAGCUUCUGGGAAUGCAGCAAGAGUCCCGCCUCUGGAAGCUAGGCAGCCAAGAGGGCCGAGAGCUGCUUACCCGGCCAGAGAUCACCCUGGUGGAGGUGAGCACUGUGGAUGGCCAGGUACGCUUGGCCCGUGCCAGACCACCAGCCCCUUCCUGGGUGUCCUCGGGUGCUUGUCUCUGGGGGGCAGGGAGAAGGUUAUGAGGUGCAGAGAAGACUGAGGCAUCUUCCUUCACCCAUUUCUGUCGCCCAGUGCCUGCUUCUUGAGGAGAAGGGUGAGAUGGGAAACUGGCCUCCGGAGUGA
rnacentral:sRNA from 1 species